UGCCAGCAGCCGCGGUAAUACUGAGGGUGCAAGCGUUAAUCGGAAUCACUGGGCGUAAAGCGCUCGUAGGUGGCUUUGUAAGUCAGAUGUGAAAGCCCACGGCUCAACCGUGGAAUUGCAUUUGAUACUGCACCGCUAGAGUAUAGGAGAGGGAAGUGGAAUUCCAGGUGUAGGAGUGAAAUCCGUAGAUAUCUGGAGGGACACCGGUGGCGAAGGCGGCCAACUGGACGAGUACUGACGCUGAGGUACGAAAGCGUGGGGAGCAAACAGGAUGAGACA
rnacentral:rRNA from 1 species